rnacentral:snRNA from 1 species
UGAUGUGAGGAUGAUCUGAUCAUAAUGUCUGUCUUUCCACUAAUUAUCAGGUUUGAUUCAUCUGAUCAGGCUAGCUAGGCAAGUGUCCCCAUUCUCCCUCACCAUUCCAUGUGUGUCCUUCCUAAAGCUGUGCUGUUAGUGAAAGAGGGCCGCUUUCCCCCAUAGAAGAAGACAGUUUCUCUGUAGGUGUAUGAUCCUCAGCUUCCCAUAUUAGACCAUCAAAGCAAGCUCUCAGUACAAGGAACAUUCAAAGCAGUGGGAGGGUUUGGGAGAGUACCACAGUAUUU